rnacentral:rRNA from 1 species
AUGCCUACGGGGGGCAGCAGUGGGGGAUAUUGCACAAUGGGGGGAACCCUGAUGCAGCGACGCCGCGUGGGUGAAGAAGCGCCUCGGCGCGUAAAGCCCUGUCAGCAGGGAAGAAAAUGACGGUACCUGAAGAAGAAGCCCCGGCUAACUACGUGCCAGCAGCCGCGGUAAUACGUAGGGGGCAAGCGUUAUCCGGAUUUACUGGGUGUAAAGGGGGCGCAGACGGCGAUGCAAGCCAGGAGUGAAAGCCCGGGGCCCAACCCCGGGACUGCUCUUGGAACUGUUGGACUAGAUUGCAGAAGAGG